rnacentral:rRNA from 1 species
UACGUAGGGUGCAAGCGUUGUCCGGAAUUAUUGGGCGUAAAGAGCUCGUAGGCGGUUUGUCGCGUCGAAUGUGAAAACCCGGGGCUCAACCCCGGGCCUGCAUUCGAUACGGGCAGACUAGAGUUCGGUAGGGGAGUCUGGAAUUCCUGGUGUAGCGGUGGAAUGCGCAGAUAUCAGGAGGAACACCGAUGGCGAAGGCACUUUACUGGGCUAUUACUAACACUCAGAGACGAAAGCUAGGGUAGCAAAUGGG